UCGAGGAUCUUCGGCAAUGGGCGCAAGCCCGACCGAGCGAUGCCGCGUGGGCGACGAAGGCCUUCGGGUUGUAAAGCCCUGUCGAGGGGGAGAAAGCCGCAAGGUCGAUCCAUCCCUGGAGGAAGCACGGGCUAAGUUCGUGCCAGCAGCCGCGGUAAGACGAACCGUGCGAACGUUGUUCGGAAUCACUGGGCUUAAAGGGCGCGUAGGCGGGCUGCCAAGUCUGGGGUGAAAUCCUCUGGCUCAACCAGGGAAGUGCCUCGGAUACUGGCGGCCUCGAGGGGGGUAGGGGCGUGCGGAACUGUGGGUGGAGCGGUGAAAUGCGUUGAUAUCCACAGGAACUCCGGUGGCGAAGGCGGCACGCUGGACCCUUUCUGACGCUGAGGCGCGAAAGCCAGGGGAGCGAACG
rnacentral:rRNA from 1 species